rnacentral:rRNA from 1 species
AAGACGAGGAUAACAGUUGGAAACGACUGCUAAGACUGGAUAGGAGAUAAGAAGGCAUCUUUUUAUUUUUAAAAGACCUAGCAAUAGGUAUGCUUAGGGAAGAGCUUGCGUCACAUUAGUUAGUUGGUGGGGUAAUGGCCUACCAAGACGAUGAUGUGUAGCCGGGCUGAGAGGUCGAACGGCCACAUUGGGACUGAGACACGGCCCAAACUCCUACGGGAGGCAGCAGUAAGGAAUUUUCGGCAAUGGAGGAAACUCUGACCGAGCAAUGCCGCGUGAACGAUGAAGUAUUUCGGUACGUAAAGUUCUUUUAUUAGGGAAGAAAAGAUGGUGGAAAAACCAUUAUGACGGUACCUAAUGAAUAAGCCCCGGCUAACUAUGUGCCAGCAGCCGCGGUAAUACAUAGGGGGCAAGCGUUAUCCGGAAUUAUUGGGCGUAAAGGGUGCGUAGGCGGUUAAAUAAGUUUAUGGUCUAAGUGCAACGCUCAACGUUGUGAUGCUAUAAAAACUGUUUAGCUAGAGUUGGAUAGAGGCAAGUGGAAUUCCGUGUGUAGUGGUAAAAUGCGUAAAUAUACGGAGGAACACCAGAAGCGAAGGCGGCUUGCUGGGUCUUAACUGACGCUGAGGCACGAAAGCGUGGGGAGCAAACAGGAUUAGAUACCCUGGUAGUCCACGCCCUAAACGAUGAGUACUAAACGUUGGAUAAAACCAGUGUUGAAGUUAACACAUUAAGUACUCCGCCUGAGUAGUACGUACGCAAGUAUGAAACUUAAAGGAAUUGACGGGACUCCGCACAAGCGGUGGAUCAUGUUGUUUAAUUCGAAGGUACCCGAAAAACCUCACCAGGUCUUGACAUGCUUUUGCAAAGCUGUAGAAAUACAGUGGAGGUUAUCAGAAGCACAGGUGGUGCAUGGUUGUCGUCAGCUCGUGUCGUGAGAUGUUGGGUUAAGUCCCGCAACGAGCGCAACCCUUGUUGUUAAUUGCCAUCAUUAAGUUGGGGACUUUAGCAAGACUGCCAAUGAUAAAUUGGAGGAAGGUGGGGACGACGUCAAAUCAUCAUGCCCCUUAUGACCUGGGCUACAAACGUGAUACAAUGGCUGUUACAAAGGGUAGCUAAAGCGUAAGCUUCUGGCGAAUCUCAAAAAAGCAGUCUCAGUUCGGAUUGAAGUCUGCAACUCGACUUCAUGAAGUUGGAAUCGCUAGUAAUCGCGAAUCAGCAUGUCGCGGUGAAUACGUUCUCGGGGUUUGUACACACCGCCCGUCAAACCACGAAAGUUGGCAAUACCCAAAGCCGGUGGCCUAACUUGAGCAAUCAAGAAGGAGCCGUCUAAGGUAGGGUUGAUGAUUGGGGUUAAGUCGUAACAAGGUAUCC